GGAACUUCUACGGUACACCUGC
rnacentral:miRNA from 1 species